GCGCAGCAGGCGCGAAACCUCCGCAAUGCUCGAAAGAGCGACGGGGGGACUCCAAGUGCCUACGCUCAGCGUAGGCUGUUCCCGAGCCUAAAAAGCUCGGGGAGUAAGGGCUGGGUAAGACGGGUGCCAGCCGCCGCGGUAAUACCCGCAGCCCGAGUGGUGGCCGCUAUUAUUGGGCCUAAAAGCGUCCGUAGCCGGCUCGGUAAAUGCUUGGGUAAAUCGUCUGGCCCAACCAGACGAAUUCCGGGUAGACUGCCGGGCUAGGGACCGGAGGAGGGAGAGGGUACUCCAGGGGUAGGGGUGAAAUCAGCAAGGUGAGUUGCUGAUGUAACUUGCCUUGCAAGUCACAAUCCUGUAACUCCCUGGAGGACCACCGGUGGCGAAGGCGCUCUCCUAGGACGGUCCGACGGUGAGGGACGAAAGCCGAGGGGAGAC
rnacentral:rRNA from 1 species